rnacentral:rRNA from 1 species
CACGCCGUAAACGUUGAGAACUAAGUGUUGGGGAGACCCAGUGCUGAAGCUAACGCAUUAAGUUCUCCGCCUGAGGAGUACGCACGCAAGUGUAAAACUUAAAGGAAUUGACGGGGGCCCGCACAAGCAGUGGAGCAUGUGGUUUAAUUCGUGGCUACGCGAAGAACCUUACCAGGGCUUGACAGGAAACUUAAGACCCUAGAGAUAGGGGGGAUAAUAAGUGAAACAGGUGG